GAACCUGCCAUUAUCCAUUUCAUUAAGAAGGACAGGAAAAUCAGUUUCCAAUGAUCUUCAUCGUGGCUGUAGGUGUUGCUGUAGGAAUGGCUGUGGGAGUUUCUGUUGGUAUUGCUGUGUGUGUAAUUGCUGCAGUCGUCAUAGUACACAGUGAAAACACGAAUCAAAUUCCAGCUGAUGGCAGCCUUAGUCAACCUGUUGAAAGUAUCACCUAUGCCUUCAUCGACCACUCCAUCAACCAUUCCUCUCAGAGAAUUAACGUCGAUGGUGAAGAUGCAGUCACCUAUGUCUCAGCUAUGACCUCUUCUGACAGAGGAAGAGAGACAGAGAACUCUGCAAACACCAGCCCUCUCUAUUCUACUGUGUAUCAACCUUACAGACCCAAGACAUCAACAUGAAGACUACACUCACUCAUUCACACAUUCUAUAAAAUCAGUAUACAGAUAUACAGUCAGGUCUGGAAAUAACUGGACACUGACACAAGUUUUUGACUGUUUACCAAAAUGUAUUCAAGUUACAGUUAAAUAAUGAUGAUGGGCAUAAAGUGCAGUCUCUGAGCUUAAAUCUGAGGGUGAAGGGUUUAGGAAUUGCACAUCUUUAAUAUGUAGCCCCUCCUUUUUCAAGGGACCAAAAGUCAAUGGACAUUUGACCCAAAAGCUGUUUCAUGGACAGGUGUGGGUUAUUCCUUUGGUAUUUCUAUAUAGGCAGGUAAACGGUCUGGAGUUGAUUCCAGGUGUGGCAUUCACAUUUGGAAGCUGUUGCUGUGAACCCACAUCAUGCGGUCAAAGGAGCUCUCAAUGCAAGUGAAACAGGCCAUUAGGCAGCAAAAAACUAAAAUCCAUCAGAGAGAUAGCAGGAAUAUUAAGAGUGGCCAAAUCAAUGGUUUGAUACAUUCUGAGAAAAAAAGAACAUACUGGUGAGCUCUGCAACACAAAAUGGCUCAUGAAGCAUAACAAAUUUGUCCAAUUACAUUUGAGCCUGAAAUAAGGGGAUUGUGUACAAUUUUUUUUGCAAUUCCUAAAAAUCUCUUAUGAUUUUUUUGUUCAACCCCUUGAAUUAAAGCUGAAAGUCUGCACUUCAAUUGCAUCUCAGUUGUUUCAUUUCAAAUCCAUUGUGGUGGUGUACACUGCCAGAAUUAUGAAAAUUGUGUUAGUGUCCACAUUUUUCUGGACCUACAUGUAUAUUUUGUGUGAUAGCAAGCUACUCAAUUUGGUUCCGGGAACAUGUGUUUUCAUUCAGUUAAGGUAGACGUGUUAAGUCAGAAGGGUGUCUGACAGAGACUGGCACAAAUUACAAUUAUUUAAUACAAUGACCAAUGUUUGUACAAUGUUUACAAAUUCAUUAAAAUGUUGUUCUAUCCA
ensembl:lncRNA